rnacentral:rRNA from 1 species
GGGAACGAAUAUACUCCCAACCCCUGUGAACUACCUGAACGUUGCUUCGGCGGGACCGCCCCGGCGCCCUUCCGGCCCGGAACCAGGCGCCCGCCGGAGGACCCAAACUCUUGUUUAAUUAGUGGCAUACUUCUGAGUCUCCUAACAAAAUAAAUUAAAACUUUCAACAACGGAUCUCUUGGCUCUGGCAUCGAUGAAAAACGCACCCAAAUGCGAUAACUAAUGUGAAUUGCAGAAUUCGGGGAAUCAUCAAAUCUUUGAACCCACUUUGCUCCCGCCAGAAUUCUGGGUGGGGAUGCCUGUUCAAGAGUUAUUUCAACCCUCAUCCCCCAGGACUUUGUCAUUGGGGACCGUGCCCUUGACGCCCCCUAUAUGAUGCGGCGACAUUCACGAGGCCCUCACCCCGCAUAAUGGAAACUCCCCUCCGCUUGCAGACGGACAGCAAGGUUGCCCCAAUAAAACACCACCUUUUUUAAAAGUUUAGACUCCAUUUGCCUUCUGAGAAUCCCCUCGAGAUUCUACCUUACAACUAGUGUGAAAAAAAUGUUCUUGAAAUUCUGUAGGAGUUUCCAGCUGAAGAUAAACAUAUUAUAAACACUAAUUCAAAGGUCUAUCUUUAUUGAUAAACAUCUUACAGUUCCUCCGUUAUAAGAAAUUCGUCUUCACUUUUUUCCUUUACUAUAUUUGGAUUCUUCAUCCCUUCCUUAGUGAAAUCCGCAGCCUGCUUUGAGUGCAAAAUACCAACUUGAUUGCGUC